rnacentral:rRNA from 1 species
AACGAACGCUGGCGGCAUGCCUAACACAUGCAAGUCGAACGAGACCUUCGGGUCUAGUGGCGCACGGGUGCGUAACGCGUGGGAACCUGCACUUAGGUUCGGAAUAACUCCCCGAAAGGGGUGCUAAUACCGGAUAAUGUCUUCGCACCAAAGAUGUAUCGCCUUUGGAUGGGCCCGCGUUGGAUUAGCUAGUUGGUAGGGUAAAAGCCUACCAAGGCGACGAUCCAUAGCUGGUCUGAGAGGAUGAUCAGCCACACUGGGACUGAGACACGGCCCAGACUCCUACGGGAGGCAGCAGUGGGUAAUAUUGGACAAUGGGCGAAAGCCUGAUCCAGCAAUGCCGCGUGAGUGAUGAAGGCCUUAGGGUUGUAAAGCUCUUUUACCCGAGAUGAUAAUGACAGUACCGGGUGAAUAAGCUCCGGCUAACUCCGUG